GGAGCGGGAGUGCCCACCAUCUGGAGGAGGAGACGGUUUGCAUUUUUUUCCUCUGGAAUUUCUCCCCAGGAGACCAGGUAUCUGAGGUUAGCUGUCCACUCAGCGCAGCUCCCAGGUUCGGCGCCUGGAAAACUUCACCUCCUGCUUUCUCCUGCCGCAGGCUCCGCCCCUGCUCCAGACCCUCCGUUCCUCUGGCCCUCCCCAUCCCGGCCACUCCCUCCCCGCUGCCUCUAGAGCAAGCGUGCGAGCAGGACAUCUCCGCGCCGGUCCUAGGCCCCAAAGCUGGCUGUGAAUAUCAAGUGUCUCUGUAGAGCGGAACAGGGGCACCCGCUCUCCCUGCGGUCCCCUGAGCUGCCUCCUUUCGGAAUAGCGCUGAGCGCGGCCAGCAGUUCUCUGGCGUCCUAGUCACUUAGCCCUUGCGAGACCCUGGGCGAAGCUCGCUUGGUGUUCUACUUUGCGGCAAGACCGAGUUCCAGCAGGAGCCUUCAACUUGGACAUACUCUUGGACUUCACUUCGCCAGUCGAAAGAGUGGGCGCAGCCGCCCAACGGAGCCCAACAGCACGGGCUCAGACGACGGGGCCCCUCGAGGGUGCACCUAGGGCGCAGCUGGGGCGCUCAGCUCCAGUGCGGGAGAAGUUCUCACCGAGCAGAGAGCGCGGCGGACGCUCCCUCGGCGCACGCCCAGGCAGCCUUCUGCCCAGCCCGCUGGACGGUCCUCAGGCUGUGAGGAGGAGCUUGCUGGAGGCUUCCAAGUUGUCCAGAGCCAGCGAGCCAGAGAGCGGAGUAUCCUGCCUAGCCUAGGAAGGGGGAGUGGCGCUGGCGGGUUGGAGUUGGGAACCCAGAGAGCGCCUGACCUCCCACCCAACUCUUUCCUAUGCUGUUUGCUACUUGGGCUCCGGGGAAGGUUCUAGCGGUGGGAGCCCUUUUUCCUAGAAGGCGGGUGAUGGAUCUCCUCCUGCUGCCCCCUCAGGGGCUCUUGGAGCGAGCUGGCGGUGCGUGAGCCGGGCACUGACCUGAGAGUGCCUCGCCUCGCAGCGUUUCCCAAACCACCUUAUUUUCCCAGCCCAAAGCCUCCCGGAAUCCAGGAGGGAGAGAGAAGAAGGUGGCCUUCAGGCACAGCUUCUUGGAGAUGUCCGCACAGAGCUUGCUCCACAGCGUCUUCUCUUGCUCCUCGCCCGCUUCUGGUGGCGCGGCCUCAGCCAAGGGCUUCUCAAAGAGGAAGCUGCGCCAGACCCGCAGCUUGGACCCAGCCCUGAUCGGCGGCUGCGGGAGCGAGACAGGCACAGACGGUUGCGCUCGGGGUUCCACAGCGGGCCGCCUCUGCUCCCCGCAGCCCCUAGCUGAGAGUCUUGGCCCCCGCUCGGUGUCUUCUCCCCGGAGCCCGACUUCUCGGGCCAACUGGCUCCCGACACCCAGACCUUUUUCCUCGUCCUUCUCCACACCCAGCACCCCGCAGGAGAAGUCGCCUUCUGGCAGCUUCCACUUUGACUACGAAGUCCCCUUGGGUCGAAGUGGUCUCAAGAAGAGCAUGGCCUGGGACCUGCCUUCCGUCCUGGCCGGGCCUGGCAGUGGCCGCAGCUCAGUGAGCAUCCUCUGUUCCUCUGGAGGAGGCCCCAAUGGCAUCUUUGCUUCUCCCAGGAGGUGGCUCCAGCAGAGGAAGUUUCAGCCCCCACCAAACAGUCGAGGUCACCCCUACAUCGUGUGGAAGUCCGAGGGUGAUUUCACCUGGAACAGCAUGUCGGGCCGCAGCGUGCGGCUGAGGUCAGUCCCCAUCCAGAGUCUCUCGGAGCUGGAGCGGGCUCGGCUGCAGGAAGUGGCUUUUUAUCAGUUGCAGCAGGACUGUGACCUGAGCUGUCAGAUCACCAUUCCCAAAGAUGGACAAAAGAGAAAGAAAUCUUUGAGAAAGAAACUGGAUUCCCUAGGAAAAGAGAAAAACAAAGACAGAGAAUUCAUCCCACAGGCAUUUGGAAUGCCCUUGUCCCAAGUCAUUGCCAAUGACAGGGCCUAUAAACUCAAGCAGGACUUGCAGAGGGAUGAACAGAAGGAUUCAUCUGAUUUCAUGGCUUCCCUCCUGCCAUUUGGAAGUAAAAGACACAACAAAGAAGUCUCAAGCAGUAACUCAUCUCUCAGCUCCACCUCAGAAACACCAAACGAGUUGACGUCUCCCACUACUCCAGAACCAGCUCCCCGGGCCAGGAGACGGGGUGCCAUGUCAGUGGAUUCCAUCACUGAUCUGGAUGACAACCACUCUCGACUGCUGGAAGCUUUGCAACUCUCCUUGCCUGCUGAGGCGCAAAACAAAAAAGAAAAGGCCAGAGAUAAAAAACUCAGUCUGAAUCCUAUUUACAGACAGGUCCCCAGGCUGGUGGACAGCUGCUGUCAGCAUCUGGAAAAGCAUGGCCUCCAGACAGUGGGGAUAUUCCGAGUGGGAAGCUCAAAAAAGAGAGUGAGACAAUUACGUGAGGAAUUUGACCGUGGGAUUGAUGUCUCUCUGGAAGAGGAGCACAGUGUUCAUGAUGUGGCAGCCUUGUUGAAGGAGUUCCUGAGGGACAUGCCAGACCCGCUUCUCACCAGGGAGCUGUACACAGCUUUCAUCAACACUCUCUUGUUGGAACCAGAAGAGCAGCUGGGCACCUUGCAGCUCCUCAUUUACCUUCUACCUUCCUGCAACUGCGACACCCUUCACCGUCUCCUACAGUUCCUCUCCAUCGUGGCCAGGCAUGCCGAUGACAAUGUCAGUGAAGAUGGGCAAGAGGUCACUGGGAACAAAAUGACAUCUCUAAACUUGGCCACCAUAUUUGGACCCAACCUGCUGCACAAGCAGAAGUCAUCAGACAAAGAAUUCUCAGUCCAGAGUUCGGCCCGGGCUGAAGAGAGCACAGCCAUCAUUGCUGUAGUGCAGAAGAUGAUUGAAAAUUAUGAAACCCUGUUCAUGGUUCCCCCAGAUCUCCAGAACGAAGUGCUGAUCAGCCUGUUAGAGACAGAUCCUGAUGUCGUGGACUAUUUGCUCAGAAGGAAGGCUUCCCAAUCUUCAACAAGUUCUGGGGCUCCGGCUGCCGCGCAGGCCUGCUCACAGGGCUCUGCCAGCGUGGUUACACCCUGACAUGGAGGGACCAGCUGAGGGUGAGGAAGUGCUUUGCUCUCCAUGCCCAUCCCAUGCUUGUUGGUUAGCUGAGACCGGUCAUGGGUGCCUAGGACCGUCCAGGGGCUUGGGGAUCUACGGAGGAAACCCUCCACCUACGGAGGCAAACCGGUGUUGCCUCCAACCCACCCACCCAACACCCUCAGCCUCAAUCCAUUACACUCUGAGGCUGGCAAGAGAAGCCUCUGCGUGCUUUGGGGCCCAGACCCAUGCAGACUGACAACUGCCCUACCCAGCCUUUCAGCAAAGUACAAGGCAUAGAAAGACAUACUUUAGACAGCUCCUCCUCUAGUGCAUCAUUGAUAGGAGGAAAUCUUUUCCAGAAAUCCAUACGUGACUGUGUUAAUGCCUUUACUUAAGGCCCUCAACUCAAAACUGACUUCUUAGAGUUGGAAUAUUCCAAGACAAAUCUGAGAGAAGGCAUUUGUGGCUGUUUGUCCCUUUUUUUUUUUUUCAGAUUUCCCCAAAGGGCGGUAUGGUUUUCUAGAUUUGACAAUUCUUUGGAAUGGGUUCUUAGGCAUAUUUAGCUGCUACUUUCUGACCUCUGGUGGGAAAAUAAAAUGAUAGAUAGGAAAAUAUUUUAAACAUUUAAAAAGGCCAUGAAAAACUAAAUAAAAAUAAAAGGCCACGGACUCCAUGAUAUGUAUUUUAUACUACUUUUCUGUUGAGUUGUACUAAUGUUAAAUACUAUUUAGCAAGUACAGUUUACAAGAAUUCCCGACCCCUACUGCCUCUACUGCUACAAACAUAAAUUAUUUACAAGUCCCUGUUACUUUGCCUCAUUUUCAUACUGAGAUCUGGAACAAAGAGUUAUUAACAGUAGCUUAGUCCAGCGCCUGCCACAUGAGGAACUCCGUAUAAAUAUAAACUUUUCCUUUUCUUACAGGCCAAGGGGUUAUUCCCCUAGGUCUGUUUCUCAAGCUGUUUGCCAUGUGUACUCACACUUUGUUCCCUUCCGUGGCUGGGAUAUACUGGGGGCUAAAAAGGAAGCCAUCGUCUCUCAGUAGAUGGCCCUCUCUGUCUAUACCCCUGGCUGUGACCUCAGCCACCCUGACGGGGUUCAUGAUCUGUGCCUACUGUAAGACAACUCAUCCACCUCUAUGUCUAGGGAGUAGCUCCUGCCGCCUCCCCAAAUGGCUUUCCUAUUUGAGGCCCCAGCUCUGAUCACUUUGGUGCUUGACUUAGGAGACUGAAUCAGGAGCCUGAAAGUCCAGGCGACCUUUCCUGCCCUUCCCUACACUUCAGUGCAUUCUGAUCACAAUCAGACUACAUUUCAUUGUCUGCAGCCUGCUUAUGACAGACAGAGGAGGUCCAGAAGCGGCCGGGAUGUGCACACCUGCCUUCCUUCCCCAAGCUUGGCCCCAGCCACCCUAAGGUCACGGCCACCAUAUUCACCCCCAUUCCAUCCACUGCUGCAAUUUGCUGCCAUCUGUAUUUUUCCUCCUGCUUUGGCUCUUAGCAGACUCUCAGCUUUCUGUCACACCUGUAAUUUGAAGAAGGAAAGGAAGGUUUGGCUUUUAGAGGUUCUCAAACAUUUUUGUGCAUCAGAAUCAACUGUAGCUCUUUUUGAAACACAGUCCAUUGGGCUCACCUCACAAUUCCCCUUUCAGUAGGCAAAGCUAGAUACCUGGGCUUUGAUGUCACACUCAGAAGAGGCCCAUAUUUCACUUAGUGACUCCCGGUGGCCGUCUUGAAAUUCCUUAUUUCUUUUUAGCAUGGUGCCUUACAUGUCCAUCUUGUACUGGGCCCCACAAUGGAGGUAGCCCAUCCUGCCAGUAACUCCAGAAUGGAACUCUGGAAUUUACGUUUCCAACAAGUUCUCAAGUGAUGCCGCCACAGGGAAUCCACUUUACCAUUUCACACCCAUGAAAUCAGAGUUUGCAGAAUCAACUCAGAGGAAAGAGGAAACGGACAAGGGCCUUCUCCCUCCUGCUCCCUUCCUCUACGUGAUGGGAUCCAAUAAGAACUAUGAAAAUGGAGGAAAGAUUGGUGAAGCAACUUCAUUUACUUUUGUGAUUGUUGUUAUUGUCCUUGUUUUGUUUCCACCAAACUAAACGCUGUCAUGAGGCACAUUGCUUUUUCUGCACCCUUCCCCAACAGUUAAUGUAAGUAUAAUUUCCCUGUCCGUACAUCAGUCCCGAAUCACUUUUCUGAAUGAAAUGUAAAGCUCUGAAGUGGAACAAUAUCAUAGUAAGUAAUUUGGGGAGUUGAGAAAAGGAAAACAGGAGAAUGACAAAAUGAAACGUCAAUGCAAAACACAAAAGGCAAGCAUGCUGCCAUAUAUCAACUCGGAUGGAGCUCUGUUUCCUCUGACCCUCCGAGCAGUCACUCAGAAAUACAGCAUGACACAACUCAUGGUUCCAUAGGGCAAAGAUAAUCUGCUCUCUCAGUUGAAUACCAAAUGUCCCAAGUACUUCGAGAAUUUUUUUCCAUGAGGUAUCUUUCUUUAUGCACACAACCCCUGAUGGAAUCUGCAACUUAUAGUAUUUUGUUAUUUGUUUUCUCUUCGGCAUGUUUCAUAAGACAGAUAAAACAAUUAUUGUGGUCUCUUGGAGCUACAGUAUGACCUUCCUGAAAGUUCCUUCCCAAUAGGAGGAGGCAAAACCAAAACACUCGUAGCCCUGAUGGUUAUUUUGUUUGGCCUCACGAAUAGACUUGACGUUUAAAAACCUCCCAUCAAAUAAGGCUUUAUGUACUUACUGUUGUCAAUGGCAAACUAUGACUUAUUCUUCUCGAGUAGACCCAGGACAUUUUCAUUAAUGUAUAGAAAAGUACCACCUGAGCAUGGAGAACAAACGAAAUUAGCCCACUAGGGUAGUGUACAGCCCUGUUCCAAACAUAGAACCCUGAUUCUGAGCAGAGCUCUGUGUUAGUUCAACAUAUUCGAUUUUUCUGAAUUUUGUAAACUUUUCUCAAGCAGGGUCAUGCCCCACGACAACAGACAAGUGUCCAUUUUGUUUUGUUUUCUGUUCCCUCAGCCAGAAAUAGGGAGAUUUUCCCCUUUUAAUUAGAUAUGGUGGUUAAAUAGCCCACCACUACUUUCCAGCAGAAAUAGUUAGGUUCCUUUAAUUUUUUUUUUCUUCAAAUUCAUUGGCGCCCUAAAGAGUUGGAAAAUCAUCCUCAUGGUUGUCCCCUGGCUGCUGCCCAUGAGAUUGUCUGAUAUCAGUUCAAAGAGGAGGCAAGGGAAGGACUGAUUUGUUCCAUGUGGGUAGGAAAUGUCCUGGGCAAACAUGCUAGAGCCCUGCUGCCUUGGUGACAGGCACGGCAUACCACAGGCGCUGGCCUAUUUCCCCUGGGUACUGACCCUUGCCAGAAGCCCAAGACAAAGCUGGGUCCCCCUAUGAGUGUGAUGUCGCCUCCAUUUUGCACGCACAAAACCAUUUGGUUGGGAAAGCAUUGCGCAGGACUGUGUUUAUCUUCUUAAAGCCACAAAGACUUUUGUUUGGAAAUAGUCAACCAAAGGAAAGCAAAAAGCAGUAAAGAAAACUGAAGUGUGGGAGGCAAAGGAGCAGGUUCUGCAACUUCUAAUCAACCUCUGAUCAUUUCCCUUUAAGAUGUUGUCAGGGCCACUGUUUUGAAGGUAGAAAAUAAAGUUGUUUCCAGAAGCCCUGACAUGCUACAGUCGGACG